CCAAAUGCUCCUUAUAAUGAACCCAGCGGUGGCAAACACGCAUUGCACAUGUCUAGAUCUUGUUAUUGUAGAUCUCUCACUGAUUGCACUAGCAAAUGCUUAGGGGUGGUAAUGUUGAUUGGUCAGAUUCAGGUCAAAAGUCCUCAACAUAUAUCCAACCCAUUUAUAAUGAAGCUGGAAAGCGUAAAACCCAUAUGGGAGCCAUUUAUUUUAGAUUUACUUAAUACCAAACCCACCAACCAAACUAUGGAUUUCACUGGACAAUAAGAGGGGCGAUAGGGUAUGGCAUCAUAAUAAAGUGAGAGAGAGAGAGAGGAGAACGAAUUAAAGUGGAGAAGACUAAGAAAUCCUGAACAUGCAAUCUACUCAAUUUUUCUCUAAGAAUAUUUGUUCUUUUAACUGUUAACUGCAUGGGCUUCCUAAUUACCCUCACCAAGCCUUGACUAGCUCAUUGUCCAUCGCACUAUUACAACCAUCCAAGGGGCCUCGAGCCCUUGGGACUAGGUUAUAAGGGUUUGUCCAACCUGAGGUUUUAAAUGUUGGUACUGACAAUAUAUCCAAAACUAACAAAAUCAAAAUAAUGAAAAACAACUGGCACUGACCGAUUUGGUCGGUAUGGUACCAUUAGUUCAGACUGGUACAAACUAAUACAGCUAGUAUGUACCGGCAUGGAUGAUUUUGACAUCCUAACACCCGUACCAGUGCUGGUUUCACAUUAAAAUGAUACAAUACAGAUGGCACUGUCCCAUUCCAACGAUUUUUGAAUUCAUGGUCUAACCUAUGGUGACUUCUCAAGUAUGUGGGCCAAAACUAAAGCCAACCCAUUAAAAAUCAAGGUCUUCAAGAACCCAAAAAUCCAACCCAAUUAUUAAAAAUCCUAACCUAGAUACAUUUAAUUCAAGCAUUUUUGAGUGGGAAGGCAUGUCCGAAUUUAAAAACUUUCAACCCAACAAAGUCCCUUGGGAAUUCAUUAAUGAGUAACUAUAUGAGGCUCUUAUUUUGUGUGCAUGAAAAGUCCGCUUCACCACAAGGCAACAAGGGGAAUCAUGCAACUUUCAAGACAA
rnacentral:lncRNA from 1 species